ensembl:lncRNA
AGUGAGCCCCGAUCCUCAGAAAAGGAUAAAGUAGAGGAAUCCAAGGAAUUUCAAGUGAUUUGCCUGAAGGAAGAAAAUGACUGUAAGAGCUAGAACAAGAAUGGAGAGGAAUACAGCUCCUGUUCUCAUGCUCCAUCUACUAUACCCACUGAUCCAUGUGCAUUUUCUUACACAUUUUUCUUAUGUAACAUGGAAAGAAUCACAUUAGAGUACAGUAAUUGUACUAAGAUGUACUUUUGAAUGAUUAUUGUUAAUCCUUAAAAACAAUACCGCGGUGUAGUACAGCAUGUUAUUUCAACCUCAUGAAAACAUGUGACUUGAAGUACUGACUGCAGAAUGGAAAAUACAUUUUUCUUUAGGGAAGAACAAUACUUUUGCUUGGAAAGACUCAGAAGGUCAGUUUUGUUUUCAUGUCAAACAGUGAGGCUAUGAGAGAUGGAAAUACCUAGACUUCUUGUGAUGGGAACCCUGAGUGGAUUCUCUAAGUAGAACAUCAUCAAAAUGUCUCAAAUUAAUAGUCAUGCGCUGACUUUACAUGGUGAAAUUGUCUCACAGAAAUGGCCUCAUCUAUUAUGAAGUAGUAUGGAACUUUUCCCAAGCAAGGGGAUUUCAUAACAGAUUGAUUGUAUUGGACAAUAUCAGCUAUCAGUAGAAUAUUUUUUUUACUAAUUUUCUGUGGUAUGAUCUGUGCUUUAUUCCAUUAUUCAGUUUUGAACUGAGAUGAAUACUACAUGCAUUCUCACCAUGAAUAAGUAAAAAAAAAAAAAAGACUGGUAGAACAGGACAAUAGCCUGAACAUCUGUGAGAUCAGUACAGAAGUAAUGAUGAAAGUGCAAUGAAAAUACAGUAUGUCCACUUUAUUUCAAAAUAGAAGGUGAAUAUACAUGACACUGCAGUUUAAAUGCUUAGCCUUAACAUAGAUCUCUUUGUAGGUAGAUUUUUAAAGUCUCUUGCAUGGGAUGAUGAAGUAUGAUUACAUAUGUUGAAAGGGCAGGAAAAAAAAAUCAGGGCAUACUUGACUUAAAUCUUUCCCAUUACAUUGCUAUUUUAAGUCUCACCCUCUAAUCAGGAGAUGUCACCAGCUUCUUAGGAGCACCUCACCAUUGAUGGAAGGGGUUUUUGCUUGGAUUCUUACUGAACUGUAAGAAACGCACCAAUAAAACACAAUAUGGUGUAAUGUCUUUCAAAGU